rnacentral:rRNA from 1 species
UACGAAGGGUGCAAGCGUUAAUCGGAAUUACUGGGCGUAAAGCGCGCGUAGGUGAUUCGUUAAGUUGGAUGUGAAAGCCCCGGGCUCAACCUGGGAGCUGCAUCCAAAACUGGCGAGCUAGAGUACGGUAGAGGGUGGUGGAAUUUCCUGUGUAGCGGUGAAAUGCGUAGAUAUAGGAAGGAACACCAGUGGCGAAGGCGACCACCUGGACUGAUACUGACACUGAGGUGCGAAAGCGUGGGGAGCAAACAGG